UACGGAGGGAGCUAGCGUUAUUCGGAAUUACUGGGCGUAAAGCGCACGUAGGCGGCUUUGCAAGUUAGAGGUGAAAGCCUGGAGCUCAACUCCAGAACUGCCUUUAAAACUGCAUCGCUUGAAUCCAGGAGAGGUGAGUGGAAUUCCGAGUGUAGAGGUGAAAUUCGUAGAUAUUCGGAAGAACACCAGUGGCGAAGGCGGCUCACUGGACUGGUAUUGACGCUGAGGUGCGAAAGCGUGGGGAGCAAACAGG
rnacentral:rRNA from 1 species